UCAAAUCCGCUGGCCCGGAAGUUAGCUGCUGGCCAUCGCCUGCGGGUCAGAGGUGUGCGAAGUCCGCGCCGAUGUGGUCAUUUCUGUUUAAUAGAUAAGGACUCGAAAGACCUGGGAAGAAUGCUUUUCCCCACAGAGCCGUGGCUACUAAUGGCGAGGCUAGGACUUACGCUUGGGUCUCUGAAUCGUCCACGCUUGGGACGACUUUACUGUCAUUUGUGGUCCCUUAGGACACAAGACUUACUGAGUUCAAGUCUGAAACGCCACCCAGCAGUUGGCGAGAUAAGCAGGCUGGAUCUUGGUGAAGUCAGAUUUCCCAGAGUUCACCCGAGUGUUGGUCUCAUUUGGACCCUUCCUGGGUGGUGCUGUCUGCGUGCUGAGCUUUAUUUUACAGCCUGAAUGGCACUUCCAUCAUGGAGCCAGUUGUGCUAAGGUUCAGGAUCUACUAAGAUCUGGGGCCCUGCUACAGUAAGGUUGGCCUGUGGCCAUGUCUGUGGGCAGUUACCUUGAUGAUAUUAUAUGAGGUGGGGAGACCUGCCCAGCUGUGGGCAGUACCGUUGCCUAGGCAGAGGUUGCUUCUUGACUGUGGAUACUGUGUAACCAGCUGUUUCCAGCUCCUGCUGUUGUGACUUCAAUGUCCCUUCAAUGAUCAGUCUCCUGGAACU